AUGAACGCUGGCGGCGUGCCUAAUACCUGCAAGUCGAGCGAACGGACGAGAAGCUUGCUUUUCUGAUGUUAGCGGCGGACGGGUGAGUAACACGUGGAUAACCUACCUAUAAGACUGGGAUAACUUCGGGAAACCGGAGCUAAUACCGGAUAAUAUUUUGAACCGCAUGGUUCAAAAGUGAAAGACGGUCUUGCUGUCACUUAUAGAUGGAUCCGCGCUGCAUUAGCUAGUUGGUAAGGUAACGGCUUACCAAGGCAACGAUGCAUAGCCGACCUGAGAGGGUGAUCGGCCACACUGGAACUGAGACACGGUCCAGACUCCUACGGGAGGCAGCAGUAGGGAAUCUUCCGCAAUGGGCGAAAGCCUGACGGAGCAACGCCGCAUGAGUGAUGAAGGUCUUCGGAUCGUAAAACUCUGUCAUUAGGGAAGAACAUAUGUGUAAGUAACUGUGCACAUCUUGACGGUACCUAAUCAGAAAGCCACGGCUAACUACGUG
rnacentral:rRNA from 1 species